ACUGUUUAAAGACAAACACAGUGGACGUCAAGAACAGCAAAAGGCACCGUAAAGUAUAUUUCUCUGCCUUGUUAAUAACAAUAAGUGAAAAAGUAAUGACCUGGUUACUGAUGUCCAGAUGAGUUUCUCAGUAAGAUAUUGACAUGUUAAAGAACUUCCUCCUGCCCUUUCCUCUUACUUUCCUAAGAACGAUUGACAAGUGCUGUAGUGUUCUGUAUUUGUACAAGGCUGUGCCAGAAAAGGUCAACUUUUCAUCGCUGUAUUGCACCACAGACUUGCUUCAGACACACACACACACACACACACACACACACACACACACACACACAUGCAUACUUGAGCUCUGUUUAGUCUCCCUGCUGUGUUGAGUAAGAAACCCUUGGCCAGCUCUGUUGUUUGGACUGUUAAAACAAUCGUGUGAGCGCAUAAAACAAUUCUCUCUGAUGCCCCACACAGAGGUGGUGACUGUGUGUGUGUGUGUGUGUGUGUGUGUGUGCGUGUGCGGUUAGGCCUUUGGACUCUAACUCCAGCACCUCCUCCAACGCGCUGACCCAAUACUUCACAUUCCUUCCUGGAAUAGAGAGGCCUAUUAAUACCACCCCUCUUCCAGGGCUUUAGAAUUUAUUUAUUCACUUCUUUGUCUUCACAUGAGUGCGUUUCUCAUUACGCUUUCACAAUCAAGUGUCUCAUCGCCACAACACGGCAUGACUUUGUGGCAUUAAACAUGUCUGUGUCAGUUUUCUUUCAGCUGCCUUCUUACUAGACUACACAUACGCGUUAUUCGGACACAGAUUGGCGGCUUGAUAGUUUUAUUACUCUUCAUGCGUUUGAUCAUUCGUGCCAAAUAAAUGACCAAAUCAAAGUCCAGGAAUAUACAUUCUCAGUGAUAAGUACUACUUGUGUUGUCACAAGUUUGUGCUCAUACACUCCAUUCAGUGGACUUUAUCUCCAGCUUAUUCGUAAGGCACAGCAUAGGAUGGAUUUGCAUUUUAACAGACAACCCAUUUUCCAGAGAAACCAUUUGAAUUCCCAUUAUGGCUGUAUAAACUGAAUAAAUCGGGUGAGCCACAUGGAAGGAUACUGUAGCUGCAACCGGUGACAUAAGCUCUGCCACCACGACUGUCACCACAGCCUGACGAAAUAAUAUCCAGCAUCAUUGUGGUGUUUCAGUGAAAUUCUUCAUCCCUGGAGGUUGGGGUCAGACAGGGUCAGCCAUGAUGGUGUCCCAGGAGCAGGGUGGGUUGGGGGCCUUGCUCAAGGGCCCAACAGUGGCAGCUUGGUGGUGCUGGGGCUUGAACCCUGAUCUUCCGGUCAAUGACCCAGAGCCUUAACUACUUGAGGUACCACCGGCCCCCCAGAAAUUUGCUGUGCAUUGUGGUUUUCCUUCCAUUCUCCUCUCUCCAUCUGGACUUCACCAUUCCCUUUCAUAUCUGUGUGUAUAAAAUUAUACAAGGGCCUGGGAUUCAAUAAUAAGCAGUAGCCCUACUAUAAGACUGUGAGAUUUAUGUAAUAUAUUAUAAUCACGUUUUUAAAUCUGAUAUAAUGACCUUUGAGUCAUUGGCACAUGUGUAAUGGCUACUGUCUGCUGAGAUUCUGUAUUCUCUCGGACAGACUACACAAAAUUACCCUUAAGUGUGAAUUGUGUGUGUGUGUGUGUGUGUGUGUGUGUGUGUGUGUGUGUGGGUGGGUGUGUGAUGUGACUGGUGUCUCAUCCAGGGUGUAUUCUCGUGUCACCCCCAGUGUUCCUGGGCUCGGCCCCGGAUCCACAGCCACUCUGAGCAGGAUAAAGCAGCAACUGAAGAUGAAUCAUUCUGCAUUCACUGCUUUUAGAAUUUACAAUAUUAAUACUCCAAAAGUAUUGGACUGGCAUCAUUGGUUUGUAGAUCAAAAAUGACUAUGAGACAACAGAUCAUUUCAGCUUUAAUCUUAAUUUACAUGGAGAUAUGUUAAACAACCUUUGUUUGGCACCUUUCGUUUAGACCCACCAAUUUUUCAAGUGAUCAAAAAUAAUGGAACACAUGACUGACAGGUGUUUCUUGAUGCCCAGGUGUGUUUUGUUAGAUUAAUCAGUUAAAUAAUUACCCACUCUGAAUGUCUGCCCUGGGUUUCACCUGUGAAGAAUGUAUUUGUGGUUAAAAAGUGAUAAACUAAUAUGAAUUCCAGAGUGCAGUCUGUGGGAGAAAAGUAAGCGAUUUUAAAGCUUUAAAACGAGAGUAAAGCAUCCAGAGCAAUUGCACAAGUGCUGAGAAUAGACAGAACAGCAAUUUGGAAUUUCCCAAAAAUGAAAGAGACCACUGGUAUGCUAACAACCAGACACUGAACAGAUAGGCAAAAGAAAACACAAGCAGUUACAAGCAUUGUGAGAACUGUGAAGAAAACCCAAAACAACAGUCAAUGACAUCAUCAACUGCCUCCACAGGGCAGGGGCUGAAAGUGUUAUAAUCCACAGUCAUAAGAAGACUUUGAGAGCAGAAAUAUAGAAGCCAUGUCACAAGAUGCAGACCAUCUCAUCAGAAAUAAUAACCAGAUGAUCCACGAUAGUUCUGGAUCCAAGAUUAACUUCUACCAAAAUGAUGGAAAGGCCAAAGUGUAAAGAAAGAAUGAACGUGUAUUGGAGAGAUAUUUUACCAGAAGUGAUUUAUUCUCUUGUUUUAACCAAUAAAAAAACAGCCAUGUUUUCUUCAAAAACACAUACUGACCAUAUAAUAUGUUAUACGGCAAAUCCUCACACCCCUGAAAACAUACUUAGUGAAUCUGAUGAGCUAAAAAUAACGAUGCUGUACAAGAUGCCUUGGUCAGUCCAUGUUGGUUUACCUUCACGUGUGAGGAUUUAGGUGAAGAUGAGUUGCUCGGCAACUGUGUGCACGAGUGAGGAGUGGGAGUGCACACUAACUAGGCGGAAUGACGCAAAACGGCAUUAUUUGUCGCCGGCCAAUUCUAAAUGACAGCUGCACUACAAAUCCUCUAAUGUAUCCUCUCAUCCCUCACAAAGCUGAGUGCUCCCGAUCAACGGCAGAGAAAAUGGGGUGUCACGGUAAUGCUAGCUCCAUCGAGGGACAGUGUGUCACAAAGACAAAAGCAAAGGAAAAAGGCAACAAAACCUACUGGACCUUUAGAAAACAUUGUACCGUACAACAAACAAUGAAAGACUUGAUCCUUCUGAAAAAAUUUUGAAACUAGCAGAACCUACAGAUAAAUAGCUGAUAAACAGCUAAAUACAGAGCAGUCACAUGUUUAUAUCACACAAAAAAAAAUGGUCCCAUUAGCAGUGGACCAAGCGACCACAACUCAGUGACUGUAGAGAAAAGUCAAAUUAGUGACUACAAAACAGCACAAAUACCCAAGCAUGCCACUUUCCCUCCUUGAUUCCUGAAAGUAAUAAACUUGUUUACUUUGAUCAUUGACUGAUAUACACUGCUACACUGCAUCUUCAUGGCUCGACUCUGAUGUGUGGCAGAAAAUACUCAAGGUUGCCAGAUGUAAGUGACAAAAAUGAACACAAAGUUCAAUUAAACCAGUGCAAUUAAAAAAACAACUGACUUUCUAAAAUCAUAUAUUAAACCAAAUGACUAUGAUGGCCAUAUAAAUAGUACAACAAAGCAGCAUCAUAUUACACUUUAAAUAAAACAGAACUGAAUACAGUAUCAGCAAGACGAUGUACACUGAUCAGGUAUAACACUGUGAGCAGUGCCCGGUGAAGUGAAUAAGACUGAGUAUCUCCUCAUCAUGGCACCUGUUAGUGGGUGGGAUAUAUUAGGCAGCAAGUCAACAUUUUGUCCUCAAAGUUGAUGUUAGAAGCAGGAAAAAUGGACAAGUGUAAGGAUUUGAGCUUUGAGUUUGAUGAAGGACCAAAUUGUGAUGGCUAGACCACUGGAUCAGAACAUCUCCAAAACUGCAGCUCUUGUGGGGUGUUCCCGGUCUGCAGUGGUCAGUAUCUAUCAAAAGUGGUCCAAGGAAGGAACAGUGGUGAACCGGAGACAGGGUCAUUGGCGGUCAAGGCUCACUGAUGCACGUGGGGAGUGAAGGCUGGCCCGUGUGAUCCGAUCCAACAGACGAGCUACUGUUGCUCAAAUUGCUGAAGAAGUUAAUGCUGGUUCUGAUAGAAAGGGGUCAGAAUACACAGUGCAGGACGGGUCAGGGCUGUUUUAGCAGCAAAAAGGGGACCAACACAAUAUUAGUCAUAAUGUUAUGGCUGAUCAGUGUAUAGCCAAACAAUUCCUCAUUUACUCUAAUACUCUAAUUAUUUCCACACUUCUCAGAAUGGAUUCCACCAGAAUUUGGAACAUAGCUGUGGGGAUUUGUCCAUUCUGCCACAAGAGCAGCGUUAUAGUGUGCAGUGUUUUGCAGUGAUUUGGCAAACCAAAUCUUCAUCGAGCUCACACUGUGUGUGUGUGUGUGUGUGUGUUAUAGACAUUUACUGUUUGGAUUAAAAAAACAAACAGAAAAACUCCAAUUCACCUAUUUGCCUUGCAAAGUGCCGGUAUCUAAAGUAUGCAAAAUGUUUACCUCUAAUCCGAGUAUAAAAUUCAUUCUGCAGCAGUGGGAAAAGUCAUUUUCAAGUCAAACAGUACAUCUUCAUAUAAGUCCAUUAAGUAAAAUUCACAAGAAAAUUUAGAAAUUUUAGAAAUAAAAUUCAGUCAAAUUCAGUAGUUUAUUGGAGAGGGCGUAUAAAAGAAGGGGAAAAAAACGAUACAAAAGUGAGUUUCCAUGCAGUGGACACACCUAGGGUACUUUAGCAGAUUCAUGCAAUUUCAAGUGUCACCAUAGCAACAAGUGAAGAUGAUCCAGGCCACCUCGCAUACCUGACAAUCCGCCAUGUUCACUUGUUGCUAUGGUAAAUACUUUAAUGAGAACAUUUCCAAAAGCAGGUUUAUUAAGCUCAGUGUUUUCACUCGACAGCAGCGCAGUGAUCAAUCACAGUGUUCUGGGGCAUGGAGGCACUUCCUUGGGAGGAUUAUUAACAUACCCAAAACACCCCCCCCCCCACCCCCCACAUACAAACACAUUAAGGCUAACUCUUCUUAAAUGACGCUGUACAUAGAGCACAUAGAUCAGGGGUUCCCUAAUUUUUUGCAAACUGAAGCCCUUAAUUUUUUAACCUAUAUGAUACUUUAACCAGACUAAUAUUUUAAAUGUUUCUUUUUAAUGACUAAUAUUACUAUUCAGUUUGUGAAAUAUUUUCAUCUGUACUAUAUUUAUACCUGUAUUGUUCCAAUUUGUAUUAGAUAUAAAGAAAUAUUUGGACACAUAGCUUUAAUUUGAAGGUAUUUACAUUCCAAUCAGAUGAAGAGUUUAGGAAUUUCAGCACCUUUUAUUUGUGGUUCCCUCUUCUCAAGAGACCAAAAGUAAUUGGACAUCUGGCUGCUCAGCUGUUCCAUUUCCAUGUGUGUUUUUUUCCCUCAUUAUAUCACUUACAACAUUUUAUUUCAGCCCUGCAUUUGCAUUUGGAGUCUGUUACUAGCCACUCUCAAUAUGCAGACCAACACACUAUCACUGCCUGAGCAUUAGAGCUUUACAUAACCUUUACAGCUUAACAGAAAAAUAUACAUUUUAGAUAUAUAUUUUAACUUAUCUUUAAUGAGCAAGCCAGAGGCUAUAGUGGCUCCCUGAGACGAUAUUAGAAAGGAAUCUCCAGAGGAACCUGACUGAAAAGGGAACCUCAUCCUCAACUGGCUGACACCAGAUAGUGCAAUUAUAAAUAAUUUCCCUUUUAUAACUGAACUAUAUGGUCAAAACCCUUUUUAGUAAUAACAUGAAGUCUAUUUUGUUAUCAGCUGUUUAGUGAUGGAGACUUGAGUGCAAAACUCUAGUAGUUACAGUCUAAAGCCAUCUCUACAGUAAGUGGUAUCUUAGCAGCGCAUUAAAAAAAACUGUUUGUUAAGUAAGAAAAGAAAACAAUUUUUUCUUCAUAUGAUGAAGACAUUAAUGUAAAAUUUUUUGGAAUGAGUCUCCAGUGUCAGCAUUUCGUAUCAGUCCGCAAGGAAGACAUUCAUGAUUUCUGAUUUCUUUGUGACAUGCUGCAUAUGUGUGUGUGUGUGUGUGUGUGUGUGUGUGUUUUGUCCUGCACUGAGAGAGAAAAAAAUGGCAAGGCUUUUGAAGAAAAGACAAGCUGCAUAAUAUAAUUAAAAACAAGAAGUAACUUUGAGGAAGUUUCUCAACAUUACAUGUAGCUACAAAUACCUAAAAAAAAUUAUAAAAUAAUGUCAUUCUUUAAUUAAGGAAUCAUUAGUGAACUGCUGUGCUGUAAUAGAAAUAAUUUUGGGAUGUGCUGUUAUGGGAAAAUAAUCAACUUUUGGAUACUCUGAAGGCUGCUUCACACACAACAUUGUUGGUUGUUUGUCUACAGCAGCACAUCCUGUCAGGUUUUAUUUCUCACGGUGCUCUGUAUGAUCGCUGUGGAGCUUUCUGGAAUCUCUUUCAGUGUCCAGGAGUGAAAUAUACAGCAGAUCUGUGUAACUGAAACCUUCAUUAUUUGGCAGAUAUCUGCUCUGGAAUUCAUUAUAUAAUGUCCACAUAGUGUAUUGCACAGUUACAUAAAAAAAUAUUUCGCUGUUAGCUUCUAAUAAUCAAAAUUCAAGAGCGUGUUUUCAUACUCAACAUUUUCCUGCAAUGUUCAGCAGAGUGCACAGAGCAGGAGGUGAGAGAGCUGGACAGAACUAAAGCACUGCUGCAUCACUCUUCUUAAGUAGAGAUGAAGCAAGGGGAAAAGUCCCACUUGCAAAGGGAAAAUAGUAAUUUAAAGUAAUUUUAGUGCAAUUAAAAGAUCACAUAUUGAUUAUAAAUAUUAAAAUUCAGUUCAUUCUUAUUUUAAUCCCCAGUAGGGAUUAUUUUAUUAUUUAUUUAUUUCAGAUCCAUCAGUCCCUUUAUUAAAGUUCCUGUUCAAGAUCCUAACUACAAUCUGCAAAUUCUUAUCAGUGGAUCUGCAGAUAUGUGUAGUUUAUGUAGUUUGGCAGAAAGAUAAACACAGCUGUUCCUUACAUCAUUUAUUUGUAUCACGUGAAGAGAACCAUCGAUCUACCCACAAGUCCAGUUAUGAUCUAGCCUGAGCCAUGACAUUUCAGCUGUUUGUCUAACGUUAAAGCUUACUAACAAGAUAAAUCAUUUCACUCCUUCAUCACAAAAGUCAAUAUAAUUGACUUCACAGUCGUCCCAGCAUCUUCUGACUCUUAACACUGACAUGAGACCAGGAAGCAGAAAUCUUCUCUUAUUUACACACCUAUUGUGCUCCAAUUGCUAAAGACUUCUAUUAUUAACUUCAUCUCAUUAAACACUGCAGAUAUACGCAGAGCUUCGUAUGAUGGUCCCUGACUGUCACGUGAUAUGUUUUUUAUGUGAACAUGAUUUAAGGUGAUUUUACCUGUUUAUUUUUUAGUCAUAGCCCCAUUGUUGUUUUCAAAUGUCACAUUCAGUUGGCAUAUCAAUAAUCAAAGGUUCAUUACAUCCAUUUUCUCAGAAAAGCUGACGUCAAGCCGAGCACACAGUGAGUCACCUGGUAAAAGCUAGAACCGUCAUUUAAGCUGUGUUCAGCUAUAGAUAUGAAGAAGUAGAUACCUCACCAAGUUAGCAUGACGCGUUUCCAACAUGAUUCUCUUCAUGAACAAUGUUGUAGAAAGAUUUAAGGAGAGUAACCUUUUCCCCAUAGAUGUUGGGGCUGUGUUCAUGGUAAGUGCCACGUGGAACAUGGAAUCACUGGACCAUGGAGAACGCUGUGAAAAUGUAUGUUCUGUGUAACACAGCAGCUACAUGCUAAAAACAUUAAAUCUGUUCACAUUUAAUAAACAACAGCAUACAACAAGCAAGAGUGCAGAUAUACUGAACACUGACAUGGCUGUAAUUUAGCUGUAGAUUACUCACACCCUUGUGAUAUUCAGUAUAAAUACACUGUGUGAUGUUGCAUUUAUACAACAGUUCUCUAAACAACAAAUGAAUAUUAAGUGAUAUUUCUGACACAAUGUACAAACUUUCAGACUUUAGCAGCAGGAUCAGCAGGUAAUUGAAUGCCGUUGUGUUUGAUAUAGAAAACCAUUAACCAGGGUGAAAAUAGACGAUUAAAAAAAACCCGUUUUGAAUUGAAUUGAAUGCCGUUGUGUUUGAUAUAGAAAACCAUUAACCAGGGUGAAAAUAGACGAUUAAAAAAAACCCUCAGAAAUUCAUUUCAAAAUAAGUCGACAAAAUUUAGUUUAAUAUUCAGAAAUAAUAUUAUCAACUAUGGUAGGGUUUUCCUUUCAUUUGUCUCAGCAUAAAACUUCACAAUAAUAUUAGGUAACAGACUGCAGAGUGACCUCUGUGUGUGUGUGUGUGUGUGUGUGUGUGUGUGUGUGUGUGUUGAACCCCUUGCCCUCAGGCUGUAGCAGUACACACAGCCGUGACUCAUGGGACACGUGAACGGGGGCUAUGUGAUGGCCUUGGUCAGGCUGCACUACACUCUCGGUUCUCAGAAAGCGGCCUGCGGUCACCAAUACAUUCCAGAUGCAUUUAGUACAGCACUGUGGUGACAUUCAUCAGGACACUAACCCAGAUCACCACGAGCAGCUGCAGAGCUACAGUCAAGUGGAACCUUUACACCUGAGCACAGGGCGUGGAGGAACUUAAAUAGUGCAACACACGCCUUUCUCCAACAGCUUAUAAAUGAGAACAGUGUGUGUGUGUGUGUGUGUGUGUGUGUGUGUUGUUUUUUGUGCUAUGUAUAUAUUCAUUUUGGGAUUUAAUUACAGCAUACCGGAGGGGGCUUUUUUAAGGAGGUGGUUAUAAGAGAACAGUAGAUUGUGUCUGCCAUGUUGGAAAGGCCAACUUCAGUCAUCAGGAACAGUGUAGAUGUACAAUGCCGAAAAUCAGUUAAAGCCCAUUAGGUUUAAGUGACCUUGAGGUCAGGGUCCUGCAUGUCCCCGUGUCACAGAUGAUAAACAUACAUGUCAUGGAGAAUUUUCUGACUGGUAUCUGUUGGAAACUUUUACACCUGUACUUGAUAUAUUUUGUAAAAUGUAAUAUAUUUUUCCGUCUUUCAUCACAAAGCUAGAGUCUUGUAUUAAAGCAUAAAAAACGUAGUGUCAUAUGGUCAUGUUCUGUCUAUUUCUAUCUGAAUUAGUCUAAUUAUUAUACAGUCCACUAUUACAGUAAUAUUAUAUUUGCAAAUUAAUUCAAUUGUCUGUAGAAUUCAGAUGUAUUGGAUUGCCAGAUCAGCAGCUGAUGAUUAUAUUUAUAUUUCUGUUGUAUAUCUUGUUAUUAAAAUGUUAUUAUUAUUAAAAGUUGCUACUGAGUGUUAAAUGCCUGACAGUGUUUGAUAGAAUUAACACAAAUUAGUUUAUAUUGAACUGUGAUACACAAAAAUACACAACACAACAAUAAACAGUAUUUAAUGUACAGUGUUUUAGAAAUUUUAGAGACUGAUGUUGAUGCUCAUUUUCUUCUGUGUUUCUUUUUGUGUUAUGCUGUUACUGCAAGAUAUAUAUCUGACAUGUUUUUAUUUUAUUUUUACUAGUGUUUUGUUUUUGCUUUUGUUUUGUUUUUCCUUUAAACCUUUCAUAUAGAAUUUUAGAAAUGAUUGGGGAUUAAUGUGAAAGCUAUUUUUUAUUUUAAG